AGACUAUUUAUUUCAUUUCACCAACUAUAAGGCAUAAUGAUUGAACUUCCAACAAAGAAAUUGUCAAUUCUAUAUUGUUUGUAGAUAAAUAAAGGUAGAUGAAGAGUUGAAGCAGAGGAUACUAUGGAAAAGAUUAGCCGUUUGAAACACUUAUUUGUGACCGUGUUUCUCUCAAAUUUUGCAUUUAAUGUGGUGACUCCAGCAAUUACUGAUAUCACUAUGGAUGCAAUUUGUCCUUCUCAAGACAAGUGUUCUCUUGCUAUUUAUCUUUCUGGUUUCCAACAAGCUAUUAUUGGAUUGGGAUCAAUGUUGAUGAUGCCCCUAAUUGGAAAUCUAUCAGAUGUUUAUGGAAGGAAAACUUUGCUCACAAUUCCAGUCACACUCUUGAUUUUUCCUUCAGUGAUAAUGGCAUACAGGAGGACCACAAACUAUUUUUAUGCUUACUAUGUGAUGAGGACGUUGACUGGCAUGCUCAGUGAUACUGGCAUUCAAUGCAUCUCCAUUGCUUAUGCGGCUGAUUGUAUGUCAGAGGAGAAUCGCGCUUCUGCUAUCGCAACUCUGGCGGGUGUAGGCUCUGCUGCAUUUUUAUGCUCUAACUUUGUUGUUCGUUUCCUUUCGACUGCACAAAUAUUUCUGGUGUCAUCAAUUUCUUCAUCAGCUGCGCUAUUAUACAUGACAAUAUUCCUAAAGGACAACAUUAACAACUACGAUGCUCUCAAUCAAUCCAUAUUAGCCAACCAUCAAAGUGACCACUCAGAGGGAACAACAGUUCACCAAAUUAUUAACUUGCUCAACACUAGUACCACACUUUUAUUGGCAACAUUAAUUUCAAUCUUAUAUGGUCUUGGCGAGGGUGGAAUACAAUCACCAUUUCUGUACUUCUUAAGGGCUCGAUUUCAAUACAACAAAGACAAUUUUUCUAUGCUAAUGCUUAUUUGCUACGGCGGGACAACAUUUUCUCAAUUAAUCUUAUUGCCCAAGUUGGCUCGUAUAAUCAGAGAAGAGACAAUACUUUCCUUGGCACUCAUAGCUGGUUUUAGCAAUAUGCUAAUAGAUAGCAUUGCAUGGGCAGCUUGGGUUCCUUAUGUAGUUGCUUUGUUUCCUAUGUUUUUCUUCCUAGCAAAACCAGCUUUACAAAGCAUUGUUUCAAAACAAGUUGGGCCAAACGAACAGGUUCCUUUGCAAACAUUCUCUCUCCAUUUAUAUUUAGUCCUUUGACAGAUCUUUUCUUAUCUGAGAGAGCUCCAUUUGAUUAUCCUGGUUUUAGUAUGUUGUGCAUCGGCCUUGCUUGGUUUAUAGCAAUUAUACCUAGCAUGAUGAUAAGCUGGUUUGGUACCUAUAAUUCAAGACACAAAAUCAGGGAUGUCCUUUGCUAGGAGGCUUGAAGGAAAAUAAUAUCAACAAACUGUAUAUUAAUUUGUAUAUCUAAAAUCCAUUUUAUACAUGCAAUUUCCAAUAAUGUAUAAAGGUGUUUUUGUAUUCAUAGUAAUUGAUCAUCUCA